UCGAGCGAGAAAGCUCCUUCGGGAGUGAGUAAAGCGGCGCACGGGUGAGUAACACGUAGGUAACCUACCCUCGAGCCCCGAAUAACCUACCGAAAGGUGGGCUAAUACCGGAUAUGACCACGGGAGCCACGGCUCCUGCGGUGAAAGAUGGCCUAAGCUUGCAAGCUAUUACUAGGGGAUGGGCCUGCGUACCAUUAGCUAGUUGGCGGGGUAAUGGCCCACCAAGGCUAUGAUGGUUAGCUGGUCUGAGAGGAUGGCCAGCCACACUGGAACUGAAACACGGUCCAGACUCCUACGGGAGGCAGCAGUGGGGGAUAUUGCGCAAUGGGCGAAAGCCUGACGCAGCGACGCCGCGUGGGUGAUGAAGGCCUUCGGGUCGUAAAGCCCUGUCGAGGGGGACGAAACGGCUCCGACCUAAUACGUCGGGGUUCUGACGGUACCCCUAAAGGAAGCACCGGCUAACUCCGUGCCAGCAGCCGCGGUAAUACGGAGGGUGCGAGCGUUGUUCGGAAUCACUGGGCGUAAAGCGCGCGUAGGCGGUCUGCUAAGUCUGAUGUGAAAGCCCGGGGCUCACCCCCGGAAGUGCAUUGGAAACUGACAGACUGGAGUCCCGGAGAGGAAGGUGGAAUUCCUGGUGUAGCGGUGAAAUGCGUAGAUAUCAGGAGGAACACCGGUGGCGAAGGCGGCCUUCUGGACGGUGACUGACGCUGAGGCGCGAAAGCGUGGGGAGCAAACAGGAUUAGAUACCCUGGUAGUCCACGCUGUAAACGAUGAGCACUAGGUGUCGCGGGUAUUGACCCCUGCGGUGCCGUAGCUAACGCAUUAAGUG
rnacentral:rRNA from 1 species